rfam:Aedes aegypti strain Liverpool supercont1.27 genomic scaffold, whole genome shotgun sequence.
UGCUUGGUACCUUAGUUGGUAAAGCGCUCGUAUAGCAUACAAGAGUCCUGGGUUGAAAUCAUAGCCAAGCAC